UACAGAGGUCUCAAGCGUUGUUCGGAUUCAUUGGGCGUAAAGGGUGUGUAGGUGGCGCGCUAAGUCGGGGUGUGAAAUUUCGGAGCUUAACUCCGAAACUGCAUUCGAUACUGGCGUGCUUGAGGACUGGAGAGGAGACUGGAAUUCAUGGUGUAGCAGUGAAAUGCGUAGAGAUCAUGAGGAAGACCAGUGGCGAAGGCGGGUCUCUGGACAGUUCCUGACGCUGAGGCACGAAGGCCAGGGGAGCAAACGGG
rnacentral:rRNA from 1 species